CACCAUUGGCCGGCCAUCCAGCCAAUCCAGAUUCCAUGUGGAAACGACGUAUGGACGCUAAAGAUGGCGUCAGAUUCAAACCACUCCUCAUCAAACGUUGAAGCUCACUAAGCUCGGUUGAGAAGCGGAGCUAUGCAGACCGAACCAGCGGAGCGGAGGAGACAGCCUGGCCGGGGCCGGCGACGGGAGAGCGGGCACAGCCGAGCAGAGCCGCGGGGGAACCAGCCGAGGGUCGCGGACGCCUCUGUCAGGAACUCCGAAAAGGAGAUAUCAAGGCGGGGACUGAGAAUGUUGAAACAAAUCAUCACCAUCAUGCAACAUGAAGAGAAGUGGGCAGGAGAUGGAGGAGGAAGAGCAGAAAAGGAAGGAGAGGUAGAUGAGGAGGAAGAGGAGCGAGACAGAGGAAGAGGGAGGGACAG